GUGUGUACAAAGGGCAGGGACGUAGUCAACGCGAGCUGAUGACUCGUGCUUACUAGAAAUUCCUCGUUGUAAACCAAGAAUUGUAAUGAUCUAUCCCCAUCAUGAUGAAAUUUCAAAUAUUACCCGGGCCUGUCGGCCAAGGCUAUAGACUCGUUGAAUACAUCAGUGUAGCGCGCGUGGGGACCCGAACAUGGCU